rnacentral:rRNA from 1 species
GUGCCAGCAGCCGCGGUAAUACGGAGGGUGCGAGCGUUGUUCGGAAUUAUUGGGCGUAAAGCGCGUGUAGGCGGUCUUUUAAGUCUGAUGUGAAAGCCCUGGGCUCAACCCAGGAAGUGCAUUGGAAACUGGGAGACUUGAAUACGGGAGAGGGUAGUGGAAUUCCUAGUGUAGGAGUGAAAUCCGUAGAUAUUAGGAGGAACACCGGUGGCGAAGGCGGCUACCUGGACCGAUAUUGACGCUGAGACGCGAAAGCGUGGGGAGCAAACAGGAUUAGAUACCCUUGUAGUCC